CUGACUCCUUGAGAGUCCUGAAGGAACGUUGAAGACGACGACGUUGAUAGGCCGGGUGUGUAAGCGCAGCGAUGCGUUGAGCUAACCGGUACUAAUGAACCGUGAGGCUUAACCUUACAACGCCGAAGCUGUU
rnacentral:rRNA from 1 species